UGAGAUGUUUAGUACACUGUCAUCAUGC
rnacentral:piRNA from 1 species